rnacentral:sRNA from 1 species
GAGAUAACAGAACUUGGUGGCUGAUUGGAGGCAGGGAGUGAGGGAGAGGGAGGAGGAAAGACUAACUGUCAGUUCUCAAGAGCCGGCUGGAGCUCUUUCUUUCUCUCCAGUGAGAACAACAUGCCCAGAACCAACAAAACCGAAUUCCAACUGGAGCUGCCGGUGAAAUACGCUGUCUACAUGGUGGUCACCAGCCAUGAGGUUUCCACUAAAUAUCUCAACUUCACGGCCUCAGAGAAUACCAGUCGGGUCAUGCAGCAUCAAUAUCAGGUCAGCAACCUGGGGCAGAGGAGCCUCCCCAUCAGCCUGGUGUUCUUGGUGCCCGUCCGGCUGAACCAGGCUAUCAUAUGGGACCGCCCCCAGGUCACCUUCUCCGAG